GGAUGUGAGGGCGAUCUGGCUGCAACAUCUGUCACCCCAGCUGAUCUGGCUGGCUAGGUGGGUGUCCCCUUCCUCCCUCACCGCUCCAUGUGCUUCCCUUCUGAAGCUGCAUGCUCAGUCGAAGAGGACGGCCUUCCCUGAAUAGAGACAGACCGGUCUUCGGUUGAGGGUAUACGAGUAGCUGCGCUCCCCUGCUAGAACCUCCAAACAAGCUCUCAAGAAAGAUACAUCCAUUCACAUAAAAUAUAUUUAUUGAACACCUUAUAUGCACCAGGCAUUGUCCUAGU
ensembl:misc_RNA 7SK 7SK RNA